rnacentral:rRNA from 1 species
AGUGGCGGACGGGUGAGUAACGCGUGGGUAACCUGCCUCAUACAGGGGGAUAACAGUUAGAAAUGACUGCUAAUACCGCAUAAGACCACAGCAACGCAUGGUGCAGGGGUAAAAACUCCGGUGGUAUGAGAUGGACCCGCGUCUGAUUAGGUAGUUGGUGGGGUAACGGCCUACCAAGCCGACGAUCAGUAGCCGACCUGAGAGGGUGACCGGCCACAUUGGGACUGAGACACGGCCCAA